rnacentral:rRNA from 1 species
AGGGUCCUGGCCUGCCCAGUGGAGAACAUUAAACGGCCGCGGUAUCCUAACCGUGCAAAGGUAGCGUAAUCACUUGUCCCCUAAAUAGGGACCAGUAUGAACGGCUAAAUGAGGGCCGAACUGUCUCCUCCGACCACCCAAUGAAACUGAUCUUCUAGUCCAAAAGCUAGAAUAAGUACAUAAGACGAGAAGACCCCGUGGAGCUUCAAACACACCACGCUACCCCCAACAGUAGUAGUAAUGUUUUAAGUUGGGGCGACUGUGGAGCAAAACAAAACCUCCACGACCAGGGCCAACGCCCAAACAAAGGCAUACAUGCCAACAAAACUGACCCAGUACCACUGAUCAACGAACCAAGUUACCCCGGGGAUAACAGCGCCAUCCCCUUAAAGAGUCCUUAUCGCCAAGGGGGCUUACGACCUCGAUGUUGGAUCAGGACGCCCAGGCGGCGCAGCCGCUGCCAACGGUUCGUUUGUUCAACGACUAACGUCCUACGUGAUCUAGUU